rnacentral:rRNA from 1 species
UACGAAGGGGGCUAGCGUUGCUCGGAAUCACUGGGCGUAAAGGCGCACGUAGGCGGCUUUUUAAGUCAGGGGUGAAAUCCUGGAGCUCAACUCCAGAACUGCCUUUGAUACUGAGAGCUUGAGUCCGGGAGAGGUGAGUGGAACUGCGAGUGUAGAGGUGAAAUUCGUAGAUAUUCGCAAGAACACCAGUGGCGAAGGCGGCUCACUGGCCCGGUACUGACGCUGAGGUGCGAAAGCGUGGGGAGCAAACAGGG